rnacentral:rRNA from 1 species
CUUGAAUUCCUAUAAGAGGUCCAGCCUGCCCAGUGACUUUGUUCAACGGCCGCGGUAUCCUAACCGUGCGAAGGUAGCGUAAUCACUUGUCUUUUAAAUGAGGACUUGUAUGAAUGGCAUCACGAGGGUUAUACUGUCUCCUUUUUCUAAUCAGUGAAACUAAUCUUCCCGUGAAGAAGCGGGGAUAAAUAUAUAAGACGAGAAGACCCUAUGGAGCUUUAAACUUAAUAACAAAUACUAACCUUACUUCAACUUCCAGAACAUUAAUCUUAAUUUUAGUAUCCUGUUUAUUAGUUUUAGGUUGGGGUGACCGCGGAGUAAAAAUUAACCUCCAUAUUGAAUAGGACUUGUCCUUGAGCUAAGAACUACAGCCCUAAGCACCAAUAAAUUGACAUUAAUUGACCCA